AAAUUGAAGAGUUUGAUCAUGGCUCAGAUUGAACGCUGGCGGCAGGCCUAACACAUGCAAGUCGAACGGUAGCAGAAAGAAGCUUGCUUCUUUGCUGACGAGUGGCGGACGGGUGAGUAAUGUCUGGGAAACUGCCCGAUGGAGGGGGAUAACUACUGGAAACGGUAGCUAAUACCGCAUAACGUCUUCGGACCAAAGAGGGGGACCUUCGGGCCUCUUGCCAUCGGAUGUGCCCAGAUGGGAUUAGCUAGUAGGUGGGGUAAUGGCUCACCUAGGCGACGAUCCCUAGCUGGUCUGAGAGGAUGACCAGCCACACUGGAACUGAGACACGGUCCAGACUCCUACGGGAGGCAGCAGUGGGGAAUAUUGCACAAUGGGCGCAAGCCUGAUGCAGCCAUGCCGCGUGUAUGAAGAAGGCCUUCGGGUUGUAAAGUACUUUCAGCGGGGAGGAAGGGAGUGAGGUUAAUAA
rnacentral:rRNA from 1 species